CCUACGGGUGGCAGCAGUGAGGAAUAUUGGUCAAUGGGCGGGAGGCUGAACCAGCCAAGUCGCGUGAGGGAAGAAGGUACUAAGGGUUGUAAACCUCUUUUGUCGGGGAGCAAAGCCAGAGACGCGUCACCGGAUGAGAGUACCCGAAGAAAAAGCAUCGGCUAACUCCGUGCCAGCAGCCGCGGUAAUACGGAGGAUGCGAGCGUUAUCCGGAUUUAUUGGGUUUAAAGGGUGCGCAGGCGGGGGUGCAAGUCAGCGGUAAAAUGGCGGGGCUCAACCCCGGACUGCCGUUGAAACUGGUUUCCUAGAGUUGGAGAGAAGUAUGCGGAAUGCGUGGUGUAGCGGUGAAAUGCAUAGAUAUCACGAAGAACUCCGAUUGCGAAGGCAGCAUACCGGCUCCCUACUGACGCUCAUGCACGAAAGCGUGGGUAUCGAACAGGAUUAGAUACCCUUGUAGUC
rnacentral:rRNA from 1 species